AGAGUUUUCAGGAACUAAGAAGGGACUUACUGGCUUCACCCUCUUCAGGGCUUGGGCAAAUAACUAUAUCGUGGGCCCACUGCUUAGCUUAACAGGUGCUUGAAGAGGUUCAGCUGUGAUUGCUUUGUGUCUUCUCUUCCUGUUGCUCAC